AGACCGUGAGCAGCUCUCCAGGGAGCACACAGCAGGGCUCAGGGCCUGGCACCGGGAGAGGAUAAUCCUGUUUAUUCGGUCAUCCAAAGCACUGAUGAUCUGAGAUAAUCGGUGGCUGAGAGCAGUGAGGAGGGACGCGUGAGGUGCUCCGUGCCUGGAUGGAUGAGUCAGAUGCUCAGCACUGGGGAACGGACUGAGCUCACCCCUGCAGCCCCAACAGGGCGUGGAGAGCCCCAGCCAACCUCACAAAGAAGACAGAAAGUGGAGAAGCCAACCAGGUGUUCGGGGCCCUGCAGGUGGGAUAUUCAUGUAUGGCUGUUUGAUCAGCCCUGAAGGGCAGAGUUCUUGCUCUCCAACCUUCCUUCCUUUGCACCCUACGAGUCAGUGCUGAACACUGUGCUCCUCCUGAUGGUGCUUCAGGGCUCCUCGUGCAGAGCUCCAUGCUGCAGCACAGCCCUGAAGACAAGGGCACAUCUCUGCUGAAGGCACCGCUGCUGCACUCCGACCACCAGACUGAAGUAGUGGCUGCACUCCUCCGAAGGCACCACAUGUGUUGGUGCAUUCUGCAGCGUAAGCACGAGGCAGGAGCUGACAGCCCCACCUGCACUCACAUCUUGCUGGGCCUGAUGACAGCAUCUGAAUGCAAUGUUUGGAUACCACUGGAGAGGCGCUCGGGCUCUGGUAGCAUUUGUUUCCACCCACCUUCUCCAGUUUGCUCCAUGAAAGCCAUCGGCUGCCUCGCACAGACCCGGAGCUCCUUCUGCAUGGAGCUGUGGGACAGUGAUGGGAGGAGGAGGAGGAGGAGCAGGAGCAGGAGCUGGAGCUGGAGCGAGGCUGCUCUCCAGGAGCCUCAGGAGUCGCUUGGGGCUGAAGAGCGAGGAGAAGCUCGUUUGUUAUGCAAAUAUCUGCUUCGGCCUGGCCUGGCAUAGGCAGUGGAAAGCUCUUGAAUUAUUUUAAGCAGAGGACAAAAGUUCUUUCCCUCCCCCUAUCAUCUUGGAUCCUUAUUAAAACAAAACAAAACAG
rnacentral:lncRNA from 7 species